rfam:Pluralibacter gergoviae strain JS81F13 contig_17, whole genome shotgun sequence.
ACCUGUGCCGCCAUUUCACGAUCGGAAAGGCCACCGCAAAUCUGGAUAAUACGGUCCGAAAGGGUCGACUUACCGUGGUCAAUGUGAGCAAUGAUCGAAAAGUUACGUAUAUUCUUCAUAGUUAGCGUUAGUUAUGCCUUACGUAUUCCUGGAGGCUGCGGGUCUGCGCCUGACGAUUAAGCGUUCGAAAACGCCGCAUUCUACACUACAACCCCGCCGCCAGGAAAUGCUCUUCCGGCAAGCAUAGCGGUUAGUGGAAUGCAGAUCGCGGGGCAGAUGUAAUAAAAGGUGAAAGCCUAUCGGCUGGCAUCCGGGGAGGUCGUCUCUGUGCGCAGGAGAUCGGGCGGCAGGCCAACGCUUAAGAUAACCGGCUGCCACGUAUCGCGGGUGGCCAGGCGCGGAGAGAGGCCGCGGGCAAUGAGAAAGCCGCCGAUACCGCCCAGCACACCGCCGGCAAAAGCGGCGAGAUCGCUGCUGAACAGCAGCUGAAAUACGGCGGCCAUCACGAACAGCCCGAGCAGCGGCGUCAUGUAAACCAGCAGCGCAGAAGUCAGCAGGCUGCCCUCGCUGAUGCCCAAUUCAACCUUCUGCCCGACGCUCAGCGGUUCGCGGCUCGGCACGCUGAUGGUGUGCUCCGUCUGCGGCCCAAGCUUGUUGAGCACCCGGCUGCCGCAGCCCGCCCGCGAAGCGCAGCUGCUGCAGGAAGAUUUCACAUCGCAGCUGACCAGCGCAUGACCGUCGCGCCAGGAGACUACGGUUGCCCACUCUUUGAUCAUUGUGCGGCCCUGAACUGAAUGCUGUCGGCGAUGCGC